rnacentral:rRNA from 1 species
GUCUACGGCCACGCCACCCUGAACGAGCCCGAUCCCGUCUGAUCUCAGAAGCUAAGCAGGGUGGGGCCUGGUGAGAACUUGGAUGGGAGACCACCUAGGAAGACCAGGUGCUGUAGGCG